UUAACAGAAAGGCUAAGAAUGGGUUAAGGCAACCACAGGGGUUCAGUCAGCUGAACUGAGAGGAAAGGCAGAGAGCAGGUACUAAUGGUGGUUAGAUUAGAUGUUCAGGAUGUCAAAAUGCAGGAAUUUAUUCUAUGCCAAGGUCCAGACAGACAGCAAUUUCUGAGUGUCCAUUUGGAGUUUCAGCUUGGAGUGGGUCAUGCAUGGUUGUCAUGGGCAGGAGAAACCAUGCUCUGCUGAAGCUAGAUGGCACAGGAAAUUGAAGGUUUGUCACUAUGGCAAAUCUGUUGAUGAGUGACCGGGUGUCAGGGUCAGGGUACUGCUGUGUUCAGUCUUGUGGUGCUCCUUGAGUGAGGAGCCUUGAGUGAGGGGGUUGCUUCAUUUGGUGAUAUAAGUUUGAUAAUACCCAUGCAUCCAUGUGCUUCUGAUUAAUUUGAUAUGUUUACAGAUGAUUAUUUUUAUCAGCACAAUUAAUUUAUUUGUCAGUUUGUGCCUUAUAGUCGUGCUAGGCAAAUGGUAGUUGUUGACUUGUACAACCAAGGUGUAGAGUCAUUCCAGCUUGGUGCUAAACUCAAAAUGCAGUAGCUUAUGGCAAGCUGCUUUCCAAAAUGGAGUAACUCAGGUGUAGGUGAGUCUGAGAGCUCCUGUUCUAUGUAUCAUGGAGUAACUCAGAGCAGGGCACACAGCCGGUUCUCCAUAGUCACCUUCUGGGGAGGAUUCUGAGCAAAACUUCCUGGAGUGCAUGCUGGCUUACGUCGAUCUGUCUGGCUGCCCCAGCCUGGGGUCCCUUUUCCCUCUGAGUCUGUGUGUUGAGUGUUUCACACUCCCUCUCUGUUGGAGCCUGGGCUUCAGUUUAGAUUCUCCUCUUGCUGGCUCCACCUGGUAGCUGGGUCCUGUUCUCUGUUUUACCCCCCUGGAGCCCUAAGUCCACCCUUCUUUUGUCAUUGGCAUCAAUUGUCACUUCCCUGCUUGGACCUGCUAUCCUUUCUCAUUCAGAGUAUGGCUGCAGCCCUCUAACUGAUCUCUCCAUCUCUCCUUCUUGUGUGUCAGUGGAUUAUCUCCCUAGCAAUUAGAUCCAUCUUCAAAUAAGACUCACCCUGCCUCCACCCUUCCAAGGCAUUCCAGCAAGGCUCAUCGUCUGGAGUUCUUGGCCUUUGCUUGCCUCUCUGGCUUCCUCCUAUGUGGUCACUCCAAUCCUGCCCUCCAUUCCUCAUGGUACUUGCCCCGACUUUCUGCACCCCUAGCCACCGCUCCUGCUGCUCCUGCCCCAACAGUCCCCCCUCCAUUUGACCAUCUGCUUUCCUUUUGUCCCACCCCACUAAUUUUUCAUAAGAUUAGCAGCCUCACUAAUCUUGCAAGGUUUAGCUCCAUCUCACAUCCUGCCAGUUGUUGUAUAUACACCUCCACAAUGGCACUGAUGACAGAACUCAGAAUUUAGUUGUAACCUGUUUAUGCUUUUCUUCUGUGCUACCAACCAUGAGUUCAAAAGUACGAAGUGUGCCUUAUAAAAGUUAGCAUUGCACCACCAGUUCCUAGAAAAUAAUAAUUAUUUAUUAGGAAUUAACUAUGUUUCAAGUAGAGUGUUAGGUCCAUAGAUCCUUACCAUACACUUAUUGUUGAUCCUAUCAAACAGGCCUAUGAGGUAGGCACUAUUGGUAUCCCCAUUUUGUGGAUAAGGAUGCCCAAAGUCAAACUUGUAGUAAGUUACAAUUCAGGUUUUAUUUUUCUUCUGUAUAUGUGGGUCUAAAUCAUAAUUCUGCUGGUUAAAAUGAGCUGUUGCUAUCCCUACAAAUGAAGGCUCUUAAGCAGGGUUCCCCUGAUCUACA
rnacentral:lncRNA from 1 species